AAUUCAAGAAUUAACCCUUAAGGGAACCAAUAUUUGACCUGUUAGGAAAAUAUGGAUUCCAAUAUUGUAAAUCAUGUUUAUAACGUCCUAAAACUUCUAAUGGGAUUUAGUUCCUUUGUUAAAGUGCCAAGAGAGCAUAAUUGGGAUUUGAUUUGGUGAAUUUAAUUAUAUAUAUAUAUAUAAAUGUGAGUAUGUGAAAUAUAUGAGUUAUAAUAUAAUAUGACUACUUAUGCAUGUGUGUAGUAAAUAUGCUUAAAGAUCCAAUUUUGUUAAAAAGUGACAUUUUCAUAAUUUUGACCCAUUGAGGGUAUAAUUGUAAUUUUAUAUGGUAUGUGUUUGAGACCACAUUAUUAUGUAGAUAUAUUUGAGAUAUUCUGCAUGAGUUGAUCCUUUUGAGAAAAUUAGCAGGAAAGUCACAACAGGGAUAAAUACCCGACUCUGGUUGAGCCUAGGGGUAUUUUUGUAAUUUGGCAAAUCACCAGGAUUUAUUGGCAAAUAUUGGUAAAUGGAAUUUAAUUGGGAGAAUAAUUGAGAUUAAUGAUUUAAUUUGGAUUUAGUUGUGGAAUUUGAGGUUUAGUGGGGUUUAGGAAAGAUGACCAAAAUGCCCUUGGCAUAACUUUGAGGGUAAGUCAAAGCUAGGGGAAAAUGGUCAUUUGACCAUUGGUAUAGAUUAAUUGGGGACCAAGUGCUGAGCACUUAGGCUCACUCACGUGUAUCUCUCUCUCACUUUUCCUCUUGGUGCUCUUCUAGCAUUUUUCAAGGGGAAGAGUUCUUAACUAAGGUUCUUCUUGCUUUCCCAGGAUUGGGAGGGAAAUUUGAGUUCUUAGAGGAGGAUUAGGAGCUGUCUAAGGCCAUAGUAUGCUUGGAUAUUCGGAAUCUCAGAGGAGGUAAGAAUCUCUUCUCUGUUCUUCAUCUUCUUUGUAUUGCUCUUGGGUUUUCUUGAUGCAACUUGGUGUUCUUGAAUAAAUUUUGAAUUUUGAGGUUGUUGGGUGAUGUUUAUGGGUAGGUUUAGCUUGGGGGUAAGUUCAGAAACUAAUUUGUAGACUCUUUUCCUUUGGUUGCCAUGAGUUUGAGGUUAAUUUUCAGAUUGGUAGAAAGCUUGAGUUUCAAAAGCUCAAGAUUGUGAUUCUUGGCAUUUCUGGGUUUUUGAGUGUUUUGAUGAUGUUUAUGGGUUCAUUGGCACUUGGGUAACUUAUAUUUGUGUCAAAAUUUGGUUGAAAUCUGGUUGAAAACUUGAAUUGAUGAGUUCUGGCGGUCUUAGGUCGAUUAGGAGCAAUUUUACGUCAGAGAAAUCACAGAGAAAGAAACUCAGAAUUCUGGGUUUGUGUUGUGGCACCCCUCACUGAGGCAAGGGAAUUUUUGGUGUCUCUAUUUCUUUUGGGAGCUUGUGCCACUUCAAGGAUUACAUCAAGGCUCGGGAAAGGGAUCAUGCUCGUGGUUGUAUCACUACUUGCACAUGACACAAGAUUAGGCGAUAAUCACACGUAGUGUAGGCUGUGAUGGUCGGGCCACUAUAGGGGUGCGGUAUGCAGUCUCUCGGCACGUGCCGUGUAAAUGAGUUAAUUUAUAACUUUUAAGCAUGUUAAUUAUUAUUUACAUGUUAUUGAAUAUCUGUUUCUGUUAAACUAAGUUUUCUUGAUGGGCCUUAGCUCACGAAUGCUUUGUGGUGCAGGUAAGAGCAAGGGUAAGCUGGACCAGCCAUUAGUUGGAGAGCUUUGGGGGUGGUGUGUACAUACUCAGUCUGCUCGACUGCCAUGGUUGGGAUCAUUUUGAGGGACUAGGGUUGAGUUCAAUUUUUUCCCUUUAGGUCGACCCUUGUUGUUACUCCAGACAUGUUAUAUUUUGUUUAUAAACUUUUUUCGAGAUCCCCUGUACAUGUUAAAACUAUUUAAUAAAAAGUUUAAC